rnacentral:rRNA from 1 species
CUAUUCGUGAUCCUUUCGUCGGGUGUACUUAUAGAAGCCUUUGCGGCCUCUCCCCGAGGCAUGCGUCACGCGACUGAAAACAAGUAGACGCGCGCAAGUCCGCCGAGGAAUCGUGCGGGCGACACUUUCGAAUUGCGGGGACGUCCCGUGAGAUUCGCUCCACCAACCACCGCGCGGAAACGCGCUCUGGGGCCCGCCGUAACGGUGCGGGAUGCGGUAAGAGCGGGCGAAUCUGGGAUGAUCCGCAGCCAAGUCCCUACGGGCCUGCCAAAGGCCUACGGGAAAGGUCCACAGACUAAGUGGAAGUGGGUGGCGCCUGCUGCAGGCGCCGCUUAAGAUAUAGUCGGGCCCUCGUGAGGAAACUCGAGGGGUCAGCUACAGCCGUUCCGUAGGUGAACCUGCGGAAGGAUCAUUA